GACGAACGCUGGCGGCGUGCUUAACACAUGCAAGUCGAACGGAAAGGCCCCUUUGGGGGUACUCGAGUGGCGAACGGGUGCGUAACACGUGAGUAACCUGCCCUUGACUUCGGGAUAACUUCAGGAAACUGGGGCUAAUACCGGAUAGGAAUCCUUGCUGCAUGGUGGGGGUUGGAAAGCUUCGGCGGUUUUGGAUGGACUCGCGGCUUAUCAGCUUGUUGGUGGGGUAGUGGCUUACCAAGGCUUUGACGGGUAGCCGGCCUGAGAGGGCGACCGGCCACAUUGGGACUGAGAUACGGCCCAGACUCCUACGGGAGGCAGAAGUGGGGAAUAUUGAACAAUGGGCGGAAGCCUGAUGCAGCAACGCCGCGGGCGGGAUGACGGCCUUCGGGUUGUAAACCGCUUUCAGCAGGGGCGAAGCUUGUGGUGACGGUACCUGCAGAAGAAGCACCGGCUAACUACGUG
rnacentral:rRNA from 1 species